GGAAAUCUCACCAGGCCCGGACACUGGAAGGAUUGACAGAUUGAUAGCUCUUUCUUGUUAGCAAUAACAGGUCUGUGAUGCCCGUUAACGAACGAGACCUUAACCUGCUAACUAGUUUAUAUUCUCACAGAGUAUAAUACUUCUUAGAGGGACUAUAUAUGUUAAGUAUAUGGAAGUUUGAGGCAAUAA
rnacentral:rRNA from 1 species